GACAGAGGGUGCAAACGUUGUUCGGAUUUACUGGGCGUAAAGCGCGUGUAGGCGGCUUUGCAAGUCGGAUGUGAAAUCCCACGGCUCAACCGUGGAAGUGCAUCCGAAACUGCAUCGCUGGAGUCUCGGAGAGGAAGGUGGAAUGCUUGGUGUAGAGGUGAAAUUCGUAGAUAUCAAGCGGAACACCGGUGGCGAAGGCGGCCUUCUGGACGAUGACUGACGCUGAGACGCGAAAGCGUGGGGAGCAAACAGG
rnacentral:rRNA from 1 species